CCCGCACAAGCGGUGGAGCAUGUGGUUUAACUCGACGCAACGCGAAGAACCUUACCAGGGCUUGACAUCCCCUGACCGCGUAUGAAAGUACGUUUUCACCCUCGGGUGACAGGGAGACAGGUGGUGCAUGGUUGUCGUCAGCUCGUGUCGUGAGAUGUUGGGUUAAGUCCCGCAACGAGCGCAACCCCUACGUUUAGUUGCUAACGCGUGAAGGCGAGCACUCUAGACGAACUGCCGUUGACAAAACGGAGGAAGGUGGGGAUGACGUCAAAUCAUCAUGCCCCUUAUGUUCUGGGCUACACACGUGCUACAAUGGCCGGUACAGACGGACGCAAAGCCGCGAGGUGGAGCAAAUCCUAAAAAGCCGGUCUCAGUUCGGAUUGCAGGCUGCAAUUCGCCUGCAUGAAGUCGGAAUCGCUAGUAAUCGCAGGUCAGCAUACUGCGGUGAAUACGUUUCCGGGCCUU
rnacentral:rRNA from 1 species